AAUCAUGUUAAAAUGCCACCAUAUGAGAGGAAAUCAGUUAUGGGAAUAUGAUGCUGAGAGACUAACCUUGAGACAUGUUAACAGUAACCAAUGUCUCGAUGAACCUUCUGAAGAAGACAAAAUGGUGCCUACCAUGCAGGACUGUAGUGGAAGCAGAUCUCAACAAUGGCUGCUAAGGAACAUGACCUUAGGGGCAUGAAGACCGUUUCCCCUAAGCCAUGAAUGUGUCUACACUUUUGUUUUUCCAUUAUUUCGAUUAGGAGAAAAUAUUAACUUUGCUGAAUUGAAAGUUUUAAAAACUCCUUUUAGUAUUCUAAAACACAGUUGUUUAUAAUUCAUUUUUAAGAACGUUUGCUUAUUUCCCUACUAAAAUUUAUAUCUGAUUGAAGAAGCACACACAAAGUAUAAAAAUAGCAAACUGUUAUUAAACAGCAUAACAACUUUAAAACAAAUUGUGUUUGCUUUAAAAAAUCUUCAUUGCCCUCAUAUCACACAGGUAGUUGGGGAGUUAUUUUAUCUGUUGUUGUCAUAGUGAUUGAAAGAGAUAAUGUAAAUGCCUUAUAAAAUAUCUUCAUUAUAAAAUAUUAUCAAUUGCUUUUUA